AAAUGCCUGGAAAGUGGUAAAUUUUUGUGAAAUGUGGUGCUCCAGGACUGGUUUGAUGUAACCACAUCAAGAUAAUUUAGUGGACACACUAUCUUAAUGUUUCUCCUGUGUUUCUGUUUCAGGUUUCUGAUCUAUCAAGACUUGCAUUGCCUUGGACAUUGGGAGGAAACUUUGUUAUACAGCCAGUUACACUCCUGGAUGUUUGCUAUGGCAAAAUAGAAAAUUUAAAUCUUAGAUAUGUGAGCGCCCUUGAAGGGAAACUUAGCAAGCUGUGGAGACACCUGCUUGCCAUGAGGCAAAAUCUGAGUUUCAUGCUAGCCCCAGGACAGAUGUCCUCUGAGGCAGCUCAUCAUACCCUACCAACUGUUGUUUAUGCUCGGCUGAUAAAUCAUGCAGCUCAGUGUCAUCGGUCUGUGGAGGAAUGCUGCCGUGACUUGUUCACUUUGACACUUCUGGUACCUUCCGCACCUUGGCCCUUAACUCUGAUGAAUAGUGCAGCAGAUCAUAGUGUUUGAUCCAUGAAAGCCCACACUGAAAUGCAUCAGAGUGUGAUCAGACAGCAGGAAAGCCACAUGUCUGAUUAUACUGGAAAGUGUCACUUUGCAGAGACUGAUCUCCCUGAAAUUGACCCUUCUGUCAGGCUUUGUAAGUACUAGCCUAUAUUUUGAAUUGGGCCUGGAAACAGACUUGACAGCCAGUGAAGCUGUUGUAAUAAGGGAGUUACAUGCUUCCUGUAACCAGUGCUAGUCAGCAGUCUAUUCAAAGACAGCCCCAUAUAGAGCACAUUACAGUAAACUGGACAAGAUGCAAUUAAGGCAUGUGUCACCAUGGCUAGAUUGGAAACCUCAAGGAAUGGGCACAGACCAGCUUUAGUUGUGCAAAAGGACAAGAUGCAAUUAAGGCAUGUGUCACCACGGCUAGAUUGGAAACCUCAAGGAAUGGACACAGCUGGCACACACCAGCAUUAGUUGUGCAAAAAUAUUCCUGGCACCUGCUGGCACUUGUGCACCCAUGUUUAGGGUUAAAUCCUGGAGAACACUCAAGCUGUGAACUGAACUUUUUCAGGGGGAGUGUAACCCCACCCACUACAGGCUGGAACCUAAUCCCAUGAUUUGUCUUGUAACUGACCAGGAGCACCUCUGUCUUGUCUGGAUUAGGUUUCAGUUUGUUAAAUCUCAUCCAGUCCAUUACUGACAAUAGGCACUGAUAUAGGCAUAGAACAACUUUGGAAUCGGAUGGGAAGGAAAGAUAGAGUUGGGUGUCAUCAGCAUACUUAUGGCACUGAGUCCCAAAACUCCAGAGAAGGUCUCCCAGCAGUUUUGUGUAUAUGUUUGAUAACCCGUCCCAGAAAGGCACCCUAGAAGGAUACCAUAGUCAAGGAUAUCAAAAACUGCUGAAAGGUCCCACAGAACCAAUAGGGAGACACUGGGACAAGUCAUCCACUGAGGUGACCAAAGCUGUCUCUGUUCUGUAACAGACGUCCAGGUCAGUAAUAAAAAUGAAACUUGCAUAACA
rnacentral:lncRNA from 1 species